UCUCGGGUCAGCCAACACUGUCCGAUGCUCGGCCGAGCCCAGGGAAUGUGUAGAAGAGGGAGCAGGACACAAAAGCCAUGAGAAUCCACUGUGUUCCCAGCACAGGAUGCUAACCCAGGCUGUCGUCUUGCUAGGUCCCAGAUCAGCCCUCUUGGUGGGGAUGUUCUCCCAGUUGAUAAGCAGGAAAUGGAUCCUGGGGAGAACUGAAGUCACCUGACCCAGGUCCUGUGUGGGGGAAUGGUGGCCUGAGGUACCUUGCUUCACACCGAUGCAUAGGCCUUCCUCACAGCCCGUCUGACACAAUGUCCUGAAGAACGUGUCUGUGGAGGAAAUGACCUCCAGGCCCACCUCAGGUGUAUGCCCCAGUGACACAGGAGCAGAGCCUGUCUGAAACCUUUGUUUCUCCCAAGAUUGCCACGUUGAAGCUCCGAGCCCUACUUCUCAGAUUGUGACCUUUGGAGAUGGGGUCUUAGGGAGGCUAUCAAGUUAAAAUGAGGUUUUAAGGUGGGCACUGGUCCAAUCCAGCUCCAUCCUUUGGAAGCAGGGAUUUGGAAUAGCACAAACCCAGGAUGUCACAGGAUGGUGGCGGGACACACACACAAACACACACACACACACACACACACACACACUACACACACACAAAAUCACACACUACAUACACACACCACACACACACUACACACACACAAAAUCACACACUACACACACACACCACACACACACACUACACACACACAAAAUCACACACUACAUACACACACCACACACACACACUACACACACACAAAAUCACACACUACACACACUAAACACACACAAGAUCACACACUACACACACACCACACACACACACUACACACACACAAAAUCACACACUACAUACACACACCACACACACACACUACACACACACAAAAUCACACACUACACACACUAAACACACACAAGAUCACACACUACACACACACCACACACACACACUACACACACACAAAAUCACACACUACAUACACACACCAACACACACACACUACACACACACAAAAUCACACACUACACACACUAAACACACACAAGAUCACACACUACACACACACCACACACACACACUACACACACACAAAAUCACACACUACAUACACACACCACACACACACUACACACACACAAAAUCACACACUACACACACACCACACACACACACUACACACACACAAAAUCACACACUACACACACUAAACACACACAAGAUCACACACUACACACACACCACACACACACACUACACACACACAAAAUCACACACUACACACACAUACCACACACACACACUACACACACACAAAAUCACACACUACACACACAUACCACACACACACACACACUACACACACACAAAAUCACACACUACACACACACACCAACACACACACACUACACACACACAAAAUCACACACUACACACACACACCACACACACACACUACACACACACAAAAUCACACACUACACACACUAAACACACACAAGAUCACACACUACACACACACCACACACACACACUACACACACACAAAAUCACACACUACACACACAUACCACACACACACACACACUACACACACACAAAAUCACACACUACACACACACACCAACACACACACACUACACACACACACAAAAUCACACACUACACACACACACCACACACACACUACACACACACAAAAUCACACACUACACACACUAAACACACACAAGAUCACACACUACACACACACCACACACACACACUACACACACACAAAAUCACACACUACACACACAUACCACACACACACACACACACACACACACACACACACACACCACACUCACUCUGGCCUGCGUCUAAUGUGGUCACUAGUAGAUUAUUUUUUUUUUCUUCCUGACUCAUGCUCCCACCCUGAUAUCUCACCUCUUAGGGCCUGUGUCCAGGAAUCCAAACAAGAGCCCAGGCAAGGAUACCAAAGAAACUGUCCCAGCCUCUAUACCAAGCAUGAGAAAGAGGACAAGAUGGCCGCCGACUGGUCCCUGGUGUCAUCAGCAUCUCAAUAAAAAGGGCUCAGGGGCACCCACAAGCAUGUAGUGUGGUAAGAACAAGCAAGCCCAGAGAGGACACCUCUGAAAGCAGGUCCCACCCCAUGACCUUUAUUUAGCCUUGUGGACAGACAUGCCUCUGAAAAUUCUCUAGAUGGGAGCUUCCCAUUCCUCUGUUUGCCUCACAGGCUGCUGAAAGGUGAGAGAUUUCUAGCCAAAGCUUUCAGACCACAGGGCCCUUGUGGUGAUAGCCCAUCCUCAUCCUCUGUCCCAAUUGUAAAUGUUAGUCACACAUACAGGGGUUGGGGAGACGAAGCCAGCCAGAGUCACUUGUCCUUUCUGUAAAUACUGUGUGUCACUAUGAGAAGGUCCCAUCAACCAGACUCUAAUGUCUCACUUGGUCUGGAUACAACAGUCCAUGCUUGACUUAUCAGACCAUGUGAGCGAGGAAGAAGGAUACAGGUAGGGCUAGCUCCCAGAAGGAUGGUGGAAAAGCAGGGCUUGGGGUUCCAGUGGCCCUGGAAGGAGGGGAUGGAAACCCCACCCACCCUAAACGUGGGGCAUUUAAGUGUGAGGACAUCAAUGAAAAAUGCAAACAGUGUAAAACGCCACCAAGCAGACAAUAAGUUUAUUCCUCAUUACGAGGUGCACGACACGCUCAGACUCCUCAUGAAAUAAUGAAGUUCAUUUUUAACGUCUGCUUCCGUGACUUCCAGAUAAUAGGCAAGUUUGCCCCGAGGCCACAUUCCCAUUAUCAAGGCAGGGCUUUUAGCUACAGAUUCGCAAAAGCAACCCAAGGGUCCUGUGUCUCCAACACCAGCGAAUCAAAGUGAGGACUUGGGGCAUCCCUCUUUGUCUGCUAGUCACAGCCUGUCAAAAGGACCCCACCCCUUCCUUCUAAAGCAUAUCCUGAGCUGGGCGUCCCAGCCUGGUGAUGGGUUUUCUUACCCAACAGCAAUCAACGGCACACGUAAGACAUAGGAACCAGAACCCCUGAGCACUACCUGGAAGCCAGGCCACGCAUAGACUGCUUCCCAUUUAUCUCAUAGGUGUCACCCUAUCUUCUGCCCCCUGGAACUUCUUCCUCCAAACACCCAUUGGCCUUUAAAGGCAUACAUUGUUGAUAACACUUGCUGGUUUAAAGAAAUUACAAAAAUUAUUCAUAUGUUUUGUGUGCGUGCGUGUGCGUGUGCGUGUGUAUGUGUGUAUGUGUGUAUGUGUGUGUGUGUGUGUGAAGAGGCCAGAAGAGGGUACAGACCCUUUAGAGCUGGAGUUACAGGGAAAUGUGAGCUGCUCCAUGUGGCUGGACUUUUGGUUCCGCAGAAGAGCAGCAAGUUCUCUUAAAGGCUGAGCCAUCUCUCCUGCCCCCGCCUGCCCAUUUAAAAUCAACAAAAACAGCCGCAAAUGAGUAGACAAACCGGAACCAUUUCCACACACUUCCUGGACCCACAAAGUAAGUAGUUUUAUUCUUUAAGGUGUUUAUUUAGAUGUAUCCAUGCUCGCUUGGGUGUGUUUAUGGGUAGGUGCCUGUGGAGGUGAGAAGUGGGCAUUUGAUCUCAUGAAACUAUAUUUAUAGGCAAUAGAGAACCUCCUAAUGUUAGCACAGCAAGCGUUCUUAACCUCCAUGUCACCCCUCGAGUCCAAGAAAAAGAGCUUUUUUGGGGGAGUAAGCAGUCUAGUUUAGAGGACUGCUCACCCCCCACCCCCCGCACACCUCAUCUCUACCUCCCUCACACCCAUGGAGGGGAUUGGCCGUGCCCUGAGACCUCCCUCACACCACCUGUGCUUAUAAACAAGGAAAUGGGGAUACAGAGAGCUCCAGUCACUACUUGAGAGAGCAGCAGCAGGACUUAGGACCUGAGCAGACUGGCAGCCCCUGUUCUUCCUCAGGAGCCCUGGAUGGCCCCUCAUGGUCCCCCACAGGACAGACCUGGGAGGGGAAACUGAGUUCUGCUUCCCAGAGUUACAGACCAAGCCCUAAAGUUUCCAUACUUGACCAGUGCCCUACACCCACUAGUAGCAGUGGCCUGGAUGAAGCACCCCUGGUCCCUACAGAGCAGAGCCCCCAAUAUUUUAGAUCCAUAGUCAAGUGGACCUGCCCUUUGCAAAACCAGAACAGGAGUGUUAGGCAGAGUGAAAAGCAUGGAGUAUGGCUAGAGACAGCAAGCCUGAAGACUCGCCAGGAGUCCUGGCUGGCUAGAGCCAAGGGUGUGGGAGGGAACGAGAUGCAGGCUUGCCUGGGUAGAGGGGAAUUUGCUUAUAGGAGUUUAAAUGGGAUUCUAGCUAGAGGAAGAACCACUGGUGUGUUUUAAGGAGAUGCCAUGAGUGGACAAUGGGUGGAGACUCAGCAGAGGUGGAAACAGACAAACUUGGCUGUAUUUGAGUAUAGGGUUGUCAAGGUUGGCUGAGCCAGCAAACGAGGAAGGCAGGGAAGAAAGAUUUGGGAGUUCCUGACAUUCUUGGCCGAUGGACAGAGAGGGGGUAUGGAAGGUGGUAUGGUUGGUAGGGGUUUGGACAGUUUGCAUUUGUCUCUUUUAGGUCUGAGGUGUCUCGUAGGCACCCAGAUGGAGACUCCCAGAAAGUGUCAGAGACCUGGGGCUGAGAUAUAAGCGGAGGACUGUAGACAGAGAAGGGACAUGAGAUGCCAUUUGCUUACAGUGGGGACAAGCCGAUUCCAACCUCGACUACAGGCAAUUGACUGCACAGUCGUGAUCGCUGUGUCACCAGUGAGGAGACUGGGUAGGGCAGGAGUCUGGCUAAGCACGGGGCCAAGUUCACUCCUGACCUAGGCAGACUGGUGAGGACCCCGCUAAGUUUCUGUCUCUGUGCUUCCUUGUUCUGGGAUGGUGACGCCUGAUGUCCCAUAUAGAGCCUGGAACCUACAGACACCCAAAAGCACUUGUGGUUUAUUUGGCAAGGCUGCCGUCCCUGGCUGCGCAGGGUCUCUCUGGAUGAUCUUCUCUGUUUCUGGGUGAGGUAGGCUCACUGUAAGCCAUGAGAGCUCUCUGUCUCACUUCUCAUCCCAGAUGGGGCCUUGCCAAGAGUCCUGGGCCCAGCCAGGAAGAAGGUAGGCUACCAGGUGAGAAAACAGGAAGUCCUCAGUUCUGACUUGGACCCCAGCAUGAGCUCAAACUGAGCCCCCCACAUUACUCCCCAAUCCUGGAGUCUCUAGCACCAAAAGAACUUCCAUGGGCCAGAGUCGCUGGGCUGAAACCAGAGGCCCAGCUGGUGUGCUGCCUAUUGUAACUUACUUUAAAAUGUCUUUCUUGGGGUUGGGGAUUUAGCUCAGUGGUAGAGCGCUUGCCUAGGAAGCGCAAGGCCCUGGGUUCGGUCCCCAGCUCCGAAAAAAAGAACCAAAAAAAAUGUCUUUCUUGGGAGAGUAUCUCUGGGAAGGUGGUAAGGAUAUUUCCUAGACAGUAAGCCAGUGAGGACAUCAUCUAAACACCUGCAUAUACCCCUGAGCCCAGAUAGUCACAAAGUUGGACACUGCGUCUCUGUUAGUGACAAGACUGGAGAAUCUGGGAUGUGGGGUGACAUCAUGUCUGAGAGACUUUGGUGGGCACAGGCUGCAGGGCCUUCUCAAUUAUCCUUCUUGGGGAGCACACAGCACACACGUGACCAGAUCUCCUAGAUGACACAGCAGUGCCUUGGAAGGACCGAGUAACAGGAGGGACAACGCUCACUGAGCAGUGAGCAGCUUCUGUAUGACAUAGGAGCCCCUUCCUUCUUCCUACACCUUUGCUCUCCCAGUCCACCCAUCUCUCCUUCCCAGCCUUGGCCACAGUGACUUCCGUCAGGGCGGCCAUGUGCUGGCACUUUCCUGAUGUUUCAAAUUCCCACCCUUCUAUUUUCUGGUUUCUAGUGGUGGCAUUGAACCCAAGGACGUGUCGCUUCGCUCUUUUUUUAAUAUAAAAACUCUUGCACGGUGCUCUCAGUGCGGCUGUCCUCAUGGUCAGGGGAAGUUUAUUAUUUGGUAAUAAUAACGCCCUGUUUAUAUUUGCCGUAAAUGUCAGGCCUGAAUAACAGACUUCAAUCUAACUCCACAGCGUCGGUAUUUAUGACCAGCUCCAAAUGUGGAGCCAAAGGUUCCCUGUGACCAUUGGCCCCUGAAAGCCCCGGAUGGAUCCCAUCCCCAUGAGGCAGGUAGCAGUGCACACUUCCCAGGUCAGGUCAGGUUCUAGGUCCCUGUCCAUUGCUCUUGCUCUGCCGUCCUCCACAGAGGCUGGGCUCAGAGCCCCAUUCAGGCUGUCCUUGACCUGCAGAAGGAAGACUUACAGGUGUGUGUGUGUGUGUAUGUGUGUGUGUGUAUGUGUGUGUGUUGUGCAUGUGUGUCUCUGUGUGUGCAUCUGUGUAUGUGUGUGUGUGCCUGUGUAUGUGUGUCUGUGUAUGUGUGUGUGUGUCUGUGUAUGUGUGUCUGUGUAUGUGUGUGUGUGUGUCUGUGUGUGUGUCUCUGUGUGUGUAUGUGUUUGUAUGUGUGUCUGUGUGUGUAUGUGUGUGUGUCUGUGUGCAUGUGUGUCUGUGUUGUGUCUGUGUAUGUGCAUCUGUGUCUGUGUGUGUACCUCUGUGUGUGCGACUCUCUCUGUGUGUGUCUGUGUAUGUGCAUCUAUGUAUGUGUGUGUGUGUUGUGCAUGUGUGUCUGUGUCUGUGUGUGUCUGUGUGUGUGUGUGUCUCUGUGUGUAUGUGUUUGUAUGUGUGUCUGUGUGCAUGCAUGUGUGUCUGUGUGCAUGUAUGUGUGUCUGUGUGCAUGUGUGUCUGUGUAUGUCUCUGUGUGCGUGCGUGUGUGUGUGUGUGUGUGUGUGUGUGUGUAGGGGCUUGCCCUCUUCUAGUAAGUGAGCCCACAGUCUGGAAAGACUGGGCCCCUUUGCAGUUUGGCUCAGGAGGUCCUGGUGUCAUGUGCCCCUCUCUGCUUUGGAGCCUGGCUUAGCACUCAGAUUCCAAAGUGACCCUGUCUGUCCUCAGUCCCCAGUGAAAGUGACUGCUCAGCUGCAGGACUCAUGUUUACAGAAGUGAACUUCCAGUGAGAUUCAUCUCCAGAGGCAAUAUAAACUUUGACCUGUGGCCCAAUCACUGGCAAGUUGUAGGUGUCUCACUACCCAGUCUCCACUAUGUCAAAGAUUCUCAAGACACUGAAGUGCCUCGGGAAAAAAAUGACCAAGGGACUACAGUAUGCACAGAAGGAGGGAGCUCCACUCUUGGGGUCCUGGAGGUCCCCACAAGCAGCUGGUGGAGUAGAGCAGCGGCCUAUUGGGAACCCUGCCAGCCUGAGCUGACCUGGGCUUGCUAAGGUAAAGCAGAUUUGUGUCUGGAUGCAGAAGAAACUCCUGAUUACCUGAGGAAGUUUAAAAAAAUAAAAAAAAGUCAUGUGUGUGUGUGUGUGUGGCUGGAGAAUUCUGGAAAAUAGAGACAUAUCUGAGAUACUCCAUAGGCUUAGCC